AUGAUUUGGACCGUUAUUUAUUCUAAUAGUGAAUAUUCAGUUAUUUACCUAUAUUUUAAAAUGUAUUGUACAUUAAAAGAAUAUAUGAAGAUAACAUAUCAAUUAGUAUGGUUGAUGAAUUUGUAUGCAGUUAUCAAAGCAUAUCAGUACAGUACAAUUACAAGUGUAACAUUACUAGAUUCUUGGACAGUGCCUUGGGUGAUUCUACUGACAUGGAUCUUCCUUGGCACAAGAUAUUCACUAUGGCAGUUAUUUGGUGGAACAUUGUGUGUGCUUGGUCUCUCUUUAGUCUUACUUUCUGACACUUGGAAUGAUGGUGAUGGAG